UCAAUAAAGGAUUUAACACCAAAAUCUUACUUAACUUUGUAUUAAACAGUUUGUAUACCUCUAUAAAUUUAAUAAAUUAUUUUAUUUAACCCUCUUUUUUAAGAAAAAAAUUAAGUCAAGGUGCAACUAAUAUUUAAGAAUGAAAUAAAUUAUAUUAAUUUAUAAUUUUUCUAUUAUAAAAGAUUAAUAAAAUUUUAAAAGAAAAAUUUAAAAGUAAAUUUAUAUAUAUGUAGUAUAUUUGAAUCUUUCUAAUAAGUGUACAUAUUGCCCGUCACUCUUUAUUUAUAAAGAUAAGUCGUAACAUAGUAAAACUCUUA
rnacentral:rRNA from 1 species